rnacentral:lncRNA from 1 species
AGGGAAGGGAAGGGAAGGAAAGGAAAGGAAAAGAAGGGUGGUUGUUCUUUCGCUUUUAUCCAUUAUUUUCUGUUACUUUUGUUGAGGAUUGAUUUUGUUUUCACGUGGAAAUUCAAUAUAUUGACCCAGUGUGUGUGUGUGUGUGUGCAACAAACAAAGUGUUGGAUCAUCCAUCCGACCACAUAUUUAUUGCCUUUCUGACGGUGAAUUUCAUGACCAUGUCUCCUGUCCCGCUUUCUAUAUAUAUAUAUAUAUAUAUCUAUCUAUCUAUCUAUCUCUGUGUGUGUGUGUGUGUGUGUUUUUGUUUGUUUUAUUACUUGUAUUAAAAGAAUAUGUGAGAGGGUUGUUGGUGAGCAGAGCCAUAAUGGAGCCAUGCAUUGGGGGUUGGGUGCCCGUGGGAACAGUGGGAACUGAUUUGAACUUGGGUUAGGCUUGGUUAGCAAGUGUGUGAGAGUUUAAGAAAGAGGGAACAUUUGCAACGUUCCCAUGUUCCCCAUGUUGCGUGUUGAUCCUCGAUGAAGAGAGAUAGAGCUCUAUAAAAACACAAGGAAAAUUAUUUCCUUCAUGAGAGCUUAAUGGCAAUCAAGCCAACAAGAGCUUUGAUGAGGUUAUUGUUUACCUCGAAGAACCCAAGUGUAUUUAAGCUCUUGUCAUAGAACUUGGUAUGUGAAACCUUUGUUCACAUUAAUGCCAAUUUGAUGUAAAACCCUAAUUCUUCCCAAGGUGUUGUAAUGGGUUAAGUUUCCAAACGCCACUUUAAAUAAGCCCCCCUCCCUCCCCCCCCCAAAAAAACACUUGGAAACAAUUCUUAUAAAACAGGGAAACCCUUUUUGCAAAUGUGAUUUAUCCUACGGCCUUGUAAAAUUUCAUUUGGAUAGUGAAUUUAUUCUUAUAAGCCCGUAAAUUGUACUUAAACACAAAACUAGAUUAGGGUGAUUUACUGACUAAUUUCUGAUUGGCUGGGUUGACGUUGCAGGUGUUCUUUAAUCACCCAUAUCUAUGAGAAAAAAAAACUCGCACAGAUAAUAAAUUUAGCACUAACUCUAAACAUACAUAUAUAUAUAUAUAUAUAUAUGCAACUUUUAUUUGGUUGUUUUCAAGUUGGUAGAUGGCAGCUCAAUGCAAUGUGGGUGAAGAGGAAAAGACAAGAAAGUGUUUGAUGAGCCUUUGCAAAAUUGGUAGAAUGCUUUGUAUUGCAGUUCAACCAUCAACCUUCACAAUUAGUAAUGAGCAAUGAUAAUCAUAACAGAGAUGAACUACUUUACAUUUUGCAGAAGUGCAUACUGUUGUUGAAAUUAAACCACAAGGAUUGUUUAUAUUUGAAUUUACUUUUCAAAUAACCACUCAAAUUUUGUGCAGUGGAAUUUAAUGUCGUGCAUAAUUUGAAAGUUACACAAGGUUUUUAAUUAUUUUAUUAUUCAGAAAGAAAUACUACAGAUGCAACCAAGUGUGUGCGCGUAUGUCUUUAUGUGUAUAUAUGUAUAUUUUUUAUUUUAAAGUUUUAAUUUAUGUUUUGAAGGAUAUGUUUCUGACAGGUUUUAGAAUUUAUGAAGUACGCCAGUUUUAAUAAGCAUUGCUUCUAAUUGAAGUACAAUUUUAUCAAUCUACUGUUUGGUGAUUACCUUUCUUCAAUAAUGACAUCAUAUUGUGACACUUAGUUUUUAUAAGUAGAAGACAUAAAACAUGCAUGUUGUUUUCAACAAUGAUUAGAGACACAGAAGGUAUUUUUUGUUUACCAAUGAAGUUACAAGGCUACACUACUCUAAAUAAAUUCUUGUACUGCACUUGGAAAUGCAAUCAUUUUCUUGCAAAAAUACAGUUUAUCUUUUGAAAAAUUAUAUAGCUUGAACACAUCUUUUUUUUUUUCUUUUUGAAAUGGAUAUUGUUGUUUUCAGGCUUAAAAGACCUGCUUAACAAAACAUUUUUCUAUUCUUAUAUUCAUGAUCUAGAAAUAUUUUAUUUUAUUUUGUUUUUUGAUGAAUGGAUUAUAAGUGUCUAUCCAAUAUUUGAUCGGAAAGAACAAUUGUUCAAUUUUCUUCUUCUCCCUAUUUUUGAAGUUACAAUACUUAAGAUUGUUUCGUUAAUAAUUGUGGAGGUACUUGCAUCCUUGGUUUUUCGUUUUAAUUCUAAGUUUGUAGAAAAUUCAUUGAUGUGAUUAAGGAAUCUAUCAAAGUCUCAAUGAUUGGGUUUCAAAGUUGAAAGAUUCUAUUAUAUGCUGUAUAUCUCUUAGUGAUCCUCUUUGAAAACAGACAAUUGGAUCAUGUUUCACAUGUGUCUAAAUUAGAAGUGUAACAUGGAUAUAUUUCUCAAAAAGUUAUUGUGGGUAUCAUUAGUUGAAAUGCUAAAUCAACCAUAACAAGAUUAUUAUUAUUUAUUUCACACUAUUAUUACUGCAAU